rnacentral:rRNA from 1 species
ACGUUAGCGGCGGACGGGUGAGUAACACGUGGGUAACCUACCUAUAAGACUGGGAUAACUUCGGGAAACCGGAGCUAAUACCGGAUAAUAUUUCGAACCGCAUGGUUCAUAGUGAAAGGUGGUUUUGCUAUCACUUAUAGAUGGACCUGCGCCGUAUUAGCUAGUUGGUAAGGUAACGGCUUACCAAGGCGACGAUACGUAGCCGACCUGAGAGGGUGAUCGGCCACACUGGGACUGAGACACGGUCCAGACUCCUACGGGAGGCAGCAGGC